rnacentral:rRNA from 1 species
ACGGGAGGCAGCAGUGGGGAAUAUUGCACAAUGGGGGAAACCCUGAUGCAGCGACGCCGCGUGAGUGAUGAAGUAUUUCGGUACGUAAAACUCUAUCAGCAGGGAAGAUAAUGACGGUACCUGACUAAGAAGCCCCGGCUAACUACGUGCCAGCAGCCGCGGUAAUACGUAGGGGGCAAGCGUUAUCCGGAUUUACUGGGUGUAAAGGGAGUGUAGGUGGCCUGGCAAGCCAGAUGUGAAAGCCAGCAGCUCAACUGCGAGACUGCAUUUGGAACUGUUAGGCUUGAGUGCAGGAGAGGAAAGUGGAAUUCCUAGUGUAGCGGUGAAAUGCGUAGAUAUUAGGAGGAACACCAGUGGCGAAGGCGGCUUGCUGGACUGUAACUGACACUGAGGCGCGAAAGCGUGGGGAGCAAACAGGAUUAGAUACCCUGGUA